rnacentral:rRNA from 1 species
UACGAGGGGGGCGAGCGUUGUUCGGAAUUAUUGGGCGUAAAGGGCGCGUAGGCGGUGCGGUAAGUCACCUGUGAAACCUCCGGGCUCAACUCGGAGCCUGCAGGCGAAACUGCCGUGCUGGAGUGUGGGAGAGGUGAGUGGAAUUCCCGGUGUAGCGGUGAAAUGCGUAGAGAUCGGGAGGAAUACCAAUGGCGAAAGCAGGUUACUGGACCAAUACUGACGCUCAGAUGCGAAAGCUAGGGGAGCAAAC